UCUCACAAAGCUUAGUGUCUUCAAAUCCAGAUGUCUUCCACAAUUCCACAGUUCCAUGGUUAUGCUAGAAUUUUCUAGAGGGUCUCAUCCACAAUUCCACCUCGAGCCACGAGAAAAACCCCAAAAAGCAAACGUCUCCCUUGCCUCUCACAUCAAUGUCAGAGCAGUUGGAAAGGAAAAUGAACUUAGUGGGAAAAGCAAACGUCUCCCUUGCCUCUUUUCCAUAGUUCUCUUAUACACUUUCUCUCUUUCUUCGCUUAAACGUUGCCCUUUCUCACUAUCUCACUUUGCUUCUUCUCCUUCGCCACAAAGAUCUUCUCCUUCUUCUUCGACGUGAAUGUCUGCUACCUCGCGAGCGUGUCCGUGGCUGAACAACAUCGAUUCUGGAAAGGAUUUUCCCAUCUCCACUUUUUAUUUAUAUUUAUUUAUUAUGAGACACCGAUGAGGGUUUCUUCGCACUUGCUUUGUCUGUGUCUUUCUUCUCUGUGAUUCUACUCCUUCACUGCGACUUUAUUUUGCGCUAUUUUCAUCUCGAACUUCUAUGGUUGAACUCGAUUUUUAGUAACAUGGCUAUUGAUAUUGGUUGUGAUGUAUGUAAUGUUCUUGAAAAAAUGAUCCUUUUUCUCUUUAUGGAUCGAGUUUUAUGAAUAAGUUUUGUGAAUAUGAAUAACUUUUGACUAUUUUGCACGAUGUUAUUAACUUUGAGAAUGAAUAUGUACUAAGUGUGCUUCAUGCAGAUUUAUGAUUGUUAUAUAUUGUACUUUGGGAGUUAUAAAAUCUAUAGCUUUUAUUAAAAUAAAAUUGAACCGCGGAUGUUAGACACCCUUAACUCUUAAAUAUUGAAUUGUAGUUGUUAUAAUCAUUUGGGAUUCCUUAGGUUGAGUUUGAAGAUUUUAUCAUCUGCGAUUUGUGAGUAUUAUAAUUGUGUGGCUUUUAGACACAUGUAAUUUUACAUGUUUUGGGGGUUUUAUACAUAUAUGAUGUGUGAAGUGAUAUUAUUGGUUGACCCUUUACAUGUCAACGAUGUGGAUAUUAGUGAAGACAUAAUUGAUGGAUAGUGUGUAUCUUAAUGGAAAAUCAUUCAUGUAUUGAACAACCAAGAAUGGUAUGUAAAUGUAACUGGAUAAGCCAGAUUGACGAUUCAAAGGAAACGUGGAAAAUGGCAAUCAAAAUAAAAAAAAUUUGGAAUGUUUUUAGAACUCCAAGAUCCAAUAUUGAAAUGAUCUUCAUGGACCAGACGGUGCGAAUUUCUUUGUUUAGGCGCUAAGAUUAAUACAACGGUUCACAGUUAUGAGAUUCUCUUAUAAUUUGCAUUGCUGCAUAUUGAAAUGAUCUUCAUGGACCAGACGGUGCGAAUUUCGUUGUUUAGGCGCUAAGAUUAAUACAACGGUUCACAGUUAUGAGAUUCUCUUAUAAUUUGCAUUGCUGCAUGUGAAAUUAGGGUGACAAAAUUCUUGCUCAUGUUAAGAGUCAAGACAUUGAAAAAUGGAAAAACCAGUUGACGGAGAAUCAAACUUAUAUUGUGCAAAACUUUGAGGUUGAAAAUAGCACUAGGCAGUAUAGGGGAUCCAAUCACAAAUACAAGCUUAUAUUUGCCAGAGGAACUAUGGUUAAGGAAAAGGACCUACCAGAUAUCCCUUCCUAUUGUUUCUGUUUCACAGAAUUUGAGGCAUUCACCAGCCAAAAUGCUCAGAGUGAUAUCUUAAAACGAUAUGCUUUACUUCUAUAUUAUGAGAAUAACAAUGUUAGUUUCUUCAAUAGCUGUGCAUAUAGAAAUAAUAUGUUUCUUUUUGUCCCAGAUCUUAUUGGGGAGUUUGUUGAUGUAGUCCAGUGGCAAUUGGACAGUAAACGCAUAAAGGUGUCUCUCAUGUUGAGGAAUGAAUGAGGUAACACUGUUACAUGUACAUUGUGGGAAGGCUUUGCAUUGCAGCUGAAAGGUUUUUUGGACAAACAUGGAGAUGGUCCAGUCACCUUGGUGCUGGAGCAAGCAAAGAUUAAAGAGAACAAAGCUUAAACCAAAUAUCUAGUUACUGCUCAAAACUCAAUAUAUGGUUAUAAACUGUACAUUAAUGCUGAGCUUCUUGAGUUUGAAGAAUUUAUCAAAAGGAUUGAUUUUAGUGGGCUUAGUCAGAUUGAUCUAAGAAAACCAUACAAUUCUCUUAAUCCUCUCAAUUGUCAUCUGAAGACCAGUUUCUUUAUAAUGCUGAAAUCAAAAGCUUGGGAGAACUACGUGAUGUUAAAAAGUGACCAAUUGUAUCACCGUGGCAACCAUUGACAAAAUAUUUGUGGGAAAUGGGUGGAGCUAUGAAGGCUGCCCAAAAUGCUUUAAGAAAGUUGAGGCGCCCCCAUGCAGGUUGUGCAAAUGAUUGCUCAACUACUAUUACAAGAAAAGUUCCUUACCUUUCACCGCAGGAAACAUGUUGGUGAUUUACAUUUAAUUGGAUGGGUUAGUAUGCAACACUAAUAUAUCAUAUGUGAUUGCCUGUCAUUUGAUUGUUGUAUUAUUAAAACAUGUAUUAUCUCUUUAAGGGCGGAUAAUGUACCGUGUGGGCCAAAAUUUGCAGUUUGGUUGAGAAAGGUCAAUGGUUUGAUGUCGUUAAUGCUGAUAGGAUCAAGAGUAUAAAUGAUUUUGCUAACUUUUUUGCCUACAAGUUGAUUCCAGAGUACAAUAUUAGAGUCCAAGUGUAUGAUGGAACUGGUAAUGCCUGCUUUAAAUUACCAUAUAAGGAUGUCAAAAUAUUACUGAAAAUAUCGUGCAAAGAUAUUGUUUUACACAUUGAGGGUCCAUAUGCUCAGGAGUUACCAGCACUACUGUAUGAUCUAAAUGGAUUGGACCUAUUAUUUUUAGUAGACACAAGAAUUGAAGGAUCAGCUACAUCAAGUAGCAAUGUUAGCGAUCAUGAUGGGUACUCUGUGUCUGAAAUAUGUCAUGAGAAGGAGAUUUUGAGAAUGCUCCAGAGAGGGGAACACUAUUUCCAAUUUGAUGAGGGGCAAGCUAAACGUGCUCUCUGUCUAUCUGUCAAGGAAAACAAAUUGAAGGUAACCAAACAACAUCAUGCUCCUGGUUGUAUUGAUUGAGAUGGUAAAGAAACAAAGUAAAAUGCUUUUAUCAAAGUGUAUCUGAUGCUGCUGAUGUGGAAUUACUUUUGUCAACAAAUCAAAGUCUGCUGAAAUACAGAAGUAGUCUGAUUGGUGUAAUAUGUUUUAUUGAACAAACCUAUCUUUAUAUUAUGCAUAUGUAGUUUAACUUUUGUUCAGACUUGAUUUUUAAAAAUCUGAUAAGCUAACUUCUUCAUAGAA